GCUACUGGGAGUGUAUCUGGAAGCGUCUCUGGGGUUGAUGGAGGACUUGGAGGUGGCCUGUCUGCUUCUGGGAGAGUAGCUAGUUUCCUGUUUUAGGGCUUCUGGGAGCUUAUAUGCAAGAGUUCCACGGGACCUGUGUUGGUGAAUUAAUAAGAGACACGCUGAUGAAACCAGAUUUGAUGAACCGUCGACGAUGCCAUUACGCUUCCCGUGCUGCUGCCUCUCACCUCUCCUGACCAAUCAAAGGCCACAUGAGAAUCAUAAAUCAUACUGAUUGGGAC